rnacentral:rRNA from 1 species
CCCUUAGAUGUUCUGGGCCGCACGCGCGCUACACUGUUCGACGCAGCGAGUCUUAACCUUGACCGAAAGGUUUGGGUAAUCUUCAGCAAAGUCGAACGUGAUGGGGAUCGAUCAUUGCAAUUAUUGAUCGUGAACGAGGAAUUCCUAGUAAGUGCAAGUCAUCAGCUUGCGCUGAUUACGUCCCUGCCCGUUGUACACACCGCCCGUCGCUACUACCGAUUGAAUGGUUUAGUGAGAUCUCUGGAUUGACGCUGGCUAGGGGGCGACCCUUGGCCAGACUGUUGAGAAACUGCUCAAACUUGAUCAUUUAGAGGAAGUAAAAGUCGUAACA